rnacentral:lncRNA from 1 species
CAUUCCUGCUUACUACACAUGAUACAGGACCCUUCUCUGAGGAGGCCACUGGAUCUUGGUAGAGAAGCUGCUGGCCUGUAUAAACUAGCUUGGGUUCCCUCUUCCCCUUCUCCCUCUGUUAAUUGUUCUUCUACUUCUGUUUCUCCUGAAUAUGCUUCUUGUAAUGAUAACAAAGUUGUUGCAUUUCCUUCUGUGUCUGUUUCUUGUAAUGAUGACAUCUUGUCUGAUAACAAGGUUGUUCAUUUGCCUUCACAUGUGAAUAGUUCCAUUUGUAAUAAUGAAUUUGCAUCUGAUAUGAAUUAUAUUUGGCACUUAAGG